AUGUGGGGCUCCGCACAGGCAGUGCCUGGGUCCUGCGAGGCCACGCGCGGCGGCUUCGAAUCAGUUCCACCUCCCUCGGACACAUGAACUCAUCAGAGCAAGAGUAAGAAGACAAGAAAGCAUGCCGCCAGGUCCGGGAUUCAAACUACAGUUGGCCACGUGAAGUCUAGCACCCCAACCACCAUGAGAACUGCUGGCCCAAAAAAAUACGACAUUUUGGGGAGGAAAAAAAAAAAAAAAAAAGGAAAAGUAAUCAAAGUUCAAAACUCAUGGAAGAUUAAAGAUGCUAGUGGAAAUCAAACUCAACUGAAAGGUUGGAAAAUAAAUUUAAAGGAAUCUCCCACAAUAGAGCAAAACACAGAGAAACUAAAAACA